GGUGCUUAACACAUGCAAGUCGAACGAAGCACUCUACCUUAUCUCUUCGGAGUGAUUGUUUUGUGACUGAGUGGCGGACGGGUGAGUAACGCGUGGGUAACCUGCCUCAUACAGGGGGAUAACAGUUGGAAACGACUGCUAAUACCGCAUAAGCGCACAGGGUCGCAUGACCUGGUGUGAAAAACUCCGGUGGUAUGAGAUGGACCCGCGUCUGAUUAGCCAGUUGGUGGGGUAACGGCCUACCAAAGCGACGAUCAGUAGCCGACCUGAGAGGGUGACCGGCCACAUUGGGACUGAGACACGGCCCAAACUCCUACGGGAGGCAGCAGUGGGGAAUAUUGCACAAUGGGGGAAACCCUGAUGCAGCGACGCCGCGUGAGCGAAGAAGUAUUUCGGUAUGUAAAGCUCUAUCAGCAGGGAAGAAGAAAUGACGGUACCUGACUAAGAAGCACCGGCUAAAUACGUGCCAGCAGCCGCGGUAAUACGUAUGGUGCAAGCGUUAUCCGGAUUUACUGGGUGUAAAGGGAGCGCAGGCGGUACGGCAAGUCUGAUGUGAAAGCCCGGGGCUCAACCCCGGUACUGCAUUGGAAACUGUCGGACUAGAGUGUCGGAGGGGUAAGUGGAAUUCCUAGUGUAGCGGUGAAAUGCGUAGAUAUUAGGAGGAACACCAGUGGCGAAGGCGGCUUACUGGACGAUUACUGACGCUGAGGCUCGAAAGCGUGGGGAGCAA
rnacentral:rRNA from 1 species